UACGUAGGGAGCAAGCGUUGUCCGGAAUCAUUGGGCGUAAAGCGCGCGUAGGUGGCCCUGUAAGUCCGUUGUGAAAGUCAAAGGCUCAACCUUUGAAAGCCGAUGGAUACUGCAGGGCUAGAGUACGGAAGAGGCGAGUGGAAUUCCUGGUGUAGCGGUGGAAUGCGCAGAUAUCGGGAGGAACACCUGUGGCGAAAGCGGCGCACUGGACCACAACUGACGCUGAGGCGCGAAAGCUAGGGGAGCAAACAGG
rnacentral:rRNA from 1 species